GCCCACCGGCUCCCGAUCCCCCCCCCAUCCCGGCCGCGCGCCCUCUCGCCAGCCCUGAGGCCAGGCGGGGGCUGCGCUGGGGGUCCCCGGCCCGAGCCCGCGCCGCACCGCGCUCACCCCCCAGAGGAUGCUGGCUGCAACUUGGAUCUGGGGAGGGAAGGUCCUAGAAGCCAAGCGCCUCCCGGCUAUUUGCUCUUCUUUAUUUGUUUUCUCCUCCCGGAAAGGAGGAGGAAAGCGCAGAGAAAAGGAAAGGGAAGGACGGAAGCGGCGCGGGCCGCUGCUCCGGUGCCCUCCGGCUGCGCAGGAGCGAGGCGGGAGGCGAGAUACUUCUCACUACAAAUCGGCUCUCUCCAGGGAUUAGCGGCUACGCGAAAGUGCAUACUGGCGCUGCGGGCAAUCGAGGGGGCCGGGCAAGCCUGCAUUUUAAAGUAUGGAGCCCAGGCUGGUGGAAGUAGUGCAGAGAGCAGAACACUGGCUUAUAUGAGGUCCGAGGUUCAUCCCUUGCUCCUGGGGACAGAGGAAUCUCAACCCAGGUGAUGUUACACAGGUCUUCUGACACCCCCAUACCGGCAUACAUGCAGGCAAAACACCAAUGAACAUAAAAUAAGCCUUUAAUCCCAGCACUCAAG
rnacentral:lncRNA from 1 species